GACGUAGGGCGCGAGCGUUGUCCGGAUUUAUUGGGCAUAAAGAGCUCGUAGGCGGCUUGUCGCGUCGACUGUGAAAUCCCGCGGCUCAACUGCGGGUCUGCAGUCGAUACGGGCAGGCGUAGAGUUCGGUAGGGGAGACUGGAAAUUCCUGGUGUAGCGGUGAAAUGCGCAGAGUAUCAGGAGGAACACCGGUGGCGAAGGCGGGUCUC
rnacentral:rRNA from 1 species